rnacentral:rRNA from 1 species
CUGGUGCUUGCACUAGAAAAACUUAGCGGCGAACGGGUGAGUAACACGUAAAGAACCUGCCUCAUAGACGGGGACAACUAUUGGAAACGAUAGCUAAUACCGGAUAACAGCAUAAAUCGCAUGAUAUAUGUUUAAAAGUUGGUUUCGGCUAACACUAUGAGAUGGCUUUGCGGUGCAUUAGCUAGUUGGUGGGGUAAAGGCCUACCAAGGCGACGAUGCAUAGCCGACCUGAGAGGGUGAUCGGCCACACUGGGACUGAGACACGGCCCAGACUCCUACGGGAGGCAGCAGUAGGGAAUCUUCCGCAAUGGGCGAAAGCCUGACGGAGCAACGCCGCGUGAGUGAAGAAGGAUUUCGGUUCGUAAAGCUCUGUUGUUAGGGAAGAAUGAUUGUAUAGUAACUAUAUACAGUAGAGACGGUACCUAACCAGAAAGCCACGGCUAACUACGUGCCAGCAGCCGCGGUAAUACGUAGGUGGCAAGCGUUGUCCGGAAUUAUUGGGCGUAAAGCGCGCGCAGGUGGUUUAAUAAGUCUGAUGUGAAAGCCCACGGCUCAACCGUGGAGGGUCAUUGGAAACUGUUAAACUUGAGUGCAGGAGAGAAAAGUGGAAUUCCUAGUGUAGCGGUGAAAUGCGUAGAGGUUAGGAGGAACACCAGUGGCGAAG